AAUGGUGUAACUGGGUCAAAUGGUGGUUCUAUUCCAAGUUUUCUGAGGAAUCUACAUACUGCUUUCCAGAGUGGUUACACCAAUUUGCAGUCCCACCAGCAAU
rnacentral:pre_miRNA from 1 species